UACGAAGGGGGCUAGCGUUGCUCGGAAUCACUGGGCGUAAAGCGCACGUAGGCGGAUUGUUAAGGCAGGGGUGAAGUCCUGGAGCUCAACUCCAGAACUGCCUUUGAUACUGGCGAUCUCGAGUCCGGGAGAGGUGAGUGGAACUGCGAGUGUAGAGGUGAAAUUCGUAGAUAUUCGCAAGAACACCAGUGGCGAAGGCGGCUCACUGGCCCGGUACUGACGCUGAGGUGCGAAAGCGUGGGGAGCAAACAGG
rnacentral:rRNA from 1 species